rnacentral:rRNA from 1 species
GACGAACGCUGGCGGCGUGCCUAAUACAUGCAAGUUGAGCGCUGAAGGUUGGUACUUGUACCAACUGGAUGAGCAGCGAACGGGUGAGUAACGCGUGGGGAAUCUGCCUUUGAGCGGGGGACAACAUUUGGAAACGAAUGCUAAUACCGCAUAAAAACUUUAAACACAAGUUUUAAGUUUGAAAGAUGCAAUUGCAUCACUCAAAGAUGAUCCCGCGUUGUAUUAGCUAGUUGGUGAGGUAAAGGCUCACCAAGGCGAUGAUACAUAGCCGACCUGAGAGGGUGAUCGGCCACAAUGGGAAUGAGACACGGCCCAAACUCCUACGGGAGGCAGCAGUAGGGAAUCUUCGGAAAUGGACGAAAGUCUGAACGAGCAACGCCGCGUGAGUGAAGAAGGUUUUCGGAUCGUAAAACUCUGUUGGUAGAGAAGAAAGUUGGUGAGAGUGGAAAGCUCAUCAAGUGACGGUAACUACACAGAAAGGGACGGCUAACUACGUG